rnacentral:tRNA from 1 species
GGAAGGGUCGCAUAGUGGCCUAGUGCGCACGCUUGGAAAGCGUGUAAACUCGCAAGGGUUUCGGGGGUUCGAAUCCCCCCCCUUCCG